UACAGAGGGGGCAAGCGUUAUUCGGAAUUAUUGGGCGUAAAGGGCGCGUAGGCGGCUUGGCAAGUGGAUGGUGAAAUCCCUCGGCUUAACCGAGGAACUGCCGUCCAAACUGCUUCGCUUGAGACCGGGAGAGGUGAGUGGAACUCCCAGUGUAGCGGUGAAAUGCGUAGAUAUUGGGAGGAACACCAGUGGCGAAGGCGGCUCACUGGACCGGUACUGGACGCUGAUGCGCGAAAGCGUGGGGAGCAAACGGG
rnacentral:rRNA from 1 species